CCUAGGUCCUCACUUAAAACCAGGUGGGGUGCCUCUGUUACUGCCAUCACCUGGGAAGAAUGGGUCCCAAAGUGCCCGGGAUCCAAACCCAACAUUGUCAAACCCCUUCGAACAAACACCUGCGGGAAUUGAAUCGUGACAGCACCGAUCUGUCCCCUUUUACCAGUAAGCCACCCGGGAUGUCCGGGCAAAGCUCCAAGUAGCAUGAUGCGCU